AGAGUUUGAUCCUGGCUCAGAUUGAACGCUGGCGGCAUGCUUUACACAUGCAAGUCGAACGGCAGCACGGGUGCUUGCACCUGGUGGCGAGUGGCGAACGGGUGAGUAAUGCACCGGAACGUACCCAGUAAUGGGGGAUAACACAUCGAAAGAUGUGCUAAUACCGCAUACGCCCUGAGGGGGAAGGCGGGGGAUCGUAAGACCUCGCGUUAUUGGAGCGGCCGAUGCCGGAUUAGCUAGUUGGUGAGGUAAGAGCUCACCAAGGCGACGAUCCGUAGCUGGUCUGAGAGGACGACCAGCCACACUGGGACUGAGACACGGCCCAGACUCCUACGGGAGGCAGCAGUGGGGAAUUUUGGACAAUGGGCGCAAGCCUGAUCCAGCCAUGCCGCGUGAGUGAAGAAGGCCUUCGGGUUGUAAAGCUCUUUCGCAAGGAAAGAAAACUUAUCUACUAA
rnacentral:rRNA from 1 species